UACGUAGGGGGCAAGCGUUUGUCCGGAAUCAUUGGGCGUAAAGAGCGUGUAGGCGGCCUUAUAAGUCGGCUGUGAAAGUCAAGGGCUCAACCCUUGAAUGCCGGCCGAUACUGUGAGGCUAGAGUCCGGAAGAGGCGAGUGGAAUUCCUGGUGUAGCGGUGAAAUGCGCAGAUAUCAGGAGGAACACCGAUGGCGAAGGCAGCUCGCUGGGACGGUACUGACGCUGAGACGCGAAAGCCAGGGGAGCAAACGGG
rnacentral:rRNA from 1 species